GACGAACGCUGGCGGCGUGCCUAAUACAUGCAAGUAGAACGCACAGUUUAUACCGUAGCUUGCUACACCAUAGACUGUGAGUUGCGAACGGGUGAGUAACGCGUAGGUAACCUGCCUGGUAGCGGGUGAUAACUAUUGGAAACGAUAGCUAAUACCGCAUAAUAUUAAUUAUUGCAUGAUAAUUAAUUGAAAGGUGCAAUUGCACCACUACCAGAUGGACCUGCGUUGUAUUAGCUAGUAGGUGAGGUAACGGCUCACCUAGGCGACGAUACAUAGCCGACCUGAGAGGGUGAUCGGCCACACUGGGACUGAGACACGGCCCAGACUCCUACGGGAGGCAGCAGUAGGGAAUCUUCGGCAAUGGACGAAAGUCUGACCGAGCAACGCCGCGUGAGUGAAGAAGGUUUUCGGAUCGUAAAGCUCUGUUGUAAGAGAAGAACGGGUGUGAGAGUGGAAAGUUCACACUGUGACGGUAUCUUACCAGAAAGGGACGGCUAACUACGUG
rnacentral:rRNA from 1 species